AUAGGAGACCCGAUGUCUUCCCUCCUGGAGCAAAUGUAUUAAGUGUUCCGCCUGGGGAGUACAGUCGCAAGGCCGAAACUCAAAGGAAUUGACGGGGGCUCACACAAGCGGUGGAGCAUGUGGUUCAAUUCGAAGCAACGCGCAAAACCUUACCUGGGCUUGACAUGCACGGAUUAACUCUUGGAAACAGGAGUGACCCUCGAAAGGGUGGAACGUGCACAGGUGCUGCAUGGCUGUCGUCUCCUCAUAUCUUGAGAUGUCUGGUUAA
rnacentral:rRNA from 1 species